rnacentral:rRNA from 1 species
AGUGAACGCUGGCGGUAGGCCUAACGCAUGCAAGUCGAACGGCAGCACAGUAAGAGCUUGCUCUUACGGGUGGCGAGUGGCGGACGGGUGAGGAAUACAUCGGAAUCUACUUUUUCGUGGGGGAUAACGUAGGGAAACUUACGCUAAUACCGCAUACGACCUACGGGUGAAAGCAGGGGAUCUUCGGACCUUGCGCGAUUGAAUGAGCCGAUGUCGGAUUAGCUAGUUGGCGGGGUAAAGGCCCACCAAGGCGACGAUCCGUAGCUGGUCUGAGAGGAUGAUCAGCCACACUGGAACUGAGACACGGUCCAGACUCCUACGGGAGGCAGCAGUGGGGAAUAUUGGACAAUGGGCGCAAGCCUGAUCCAGCCAUACCGCGUGGGUGAAGAAGGCCUUCGGGUUGUAAAGCCCUUUUGUUGGGAAAGAAAAGCAGCAGGUUAAUACCCCGCUGUUCUGACGGUACCCAAAGAAUGAGCACCGGCUAACUUCGUG